UUCUCGGCCUUUUAGCUAAGAUCAAGGGUAGUAUCU
rnacentral:snRNA from 1 species